GAUCAUGGCUCAGGAUGAACGCUGGCGGCGUGCCUAAUACAUGCAAGUCGAACGAAUCUCUUUUAGAGAUGAGUGGCGAACGGGUGAGUAAUACAUAGGUAACCUGCCCCUGUGCGGGGGAUAACAGGAGGAAACUCCUGCUAAUACCGCAUAGCCAUGAGCACCGCAUGGAGCUCAUGCCAAAUAUCCUUUCGGGGAUAGCGCAGGGAUGGACCUAUGGCGCUA
rnacentral:rRNA from 1 species